rnacentral:rRNA from 1 species
UGGGGAAUAUUGGACAAUGGGCGCAAGCCUGAUCCAGCCAUGCCGCGUGAGUGAUGAAGGCCCUAGGGUUGUAAAGCUCUUUCACCGGUGAAGAUAAUGACGGUAACCGGAGAAGAAGCCCCGGCUAACUUCGUGCCAGCAGCCGCGGUAAUACGAAGGGGGCUAGCGUUGUUCGGAUUUACUGGGCGUAAAGCGCACGUAGGCGGACUAUUAAGUCAGGGGUGAAAUCCCGGGGCUCAACCCCGGAACUGCCUUUGAUACUGGUAGUCUUGAGUUCGAGGGAGGUGAGUGGAAUUCCGAGUGUAGAGGUGAAAUUCGUAGAUAUUCGGAGGAACACCAGUGGCGAAGGCGGCUCACUGGCUCGAUACUGACGCUGAGGUGCGAAAGCGUGGGGAGCAAACAGG